rnacentral:rRNA from 1 species
AGGAUUCCCCUAGUAACUGCGAGUGAAGCGGGAAAAGCUCAAAUUUAAAAUCUGGUAGUCUUUGGCUGCCCGAGUUGUAAUCUAGAGAAGCAUUAUCUGCACUGGACUGUGUAUAAGUAUCCUGGAAUGGAUCAUCAUAGAGGGUGAGAAUCCCGUCUUUGACACAGACUCCCUUUGCCUUGUGAUGUGCUCUCAAAGAGUCGAGUUGUUUGGGAAUGCAGCUCUAAAUGGGUGGUAAAUUCCAUCUAAAGCUAAAUAUUGGCGAGAGACCGAUAGCGAACAAGUACCGUGAGGGAAAGAUGAAAAGAACUUUGGAAAGAGAGUUAAACAGUACGUGAAAUUGCUGAAAGGGAAACGCUUGAAGUCAGUCGCGUUGGCUGGGGAUCAACCUUGCUUUUUGCUUGGCUUACUUCCCAGUUGACGGGUCAGCAUCAGUUUUGACCGGUGGAUAAAGGCUAGGGGAAUGUGGCACCUCCGGGUGUGUUAUAGCCCUUGGUCAC